AUGGCCAUCCCUCAUACCAUGAAGUAUUUCUUCAGAGGAGUCUUAACUGAGUUCCUGGAAAACUCAAUAGCGAACAGUGAAAAGAGAUCUAUUCUGAAUAAUUUCAGUUGCAAUGGCCUUACCUUCUCCACGUCUGUUCCUGUGGUUUCUCCUGAAGUCCUUCACUCUCCCCUCUUGACGAAGGCACUCGACUCUAGCCUGGCACAUUCACCUCCAUUGAACCUCCGUCGGCUUCCUCCCCAGCGGCAGCCAUCUAUGGCUCAGGGACUGUCUGCGCUUGGAUGGAACCGGUGCUCGUUCCCCCACCCCGGCCGGCCGCCCGCAGCCAGCCCUCCGUCACCUCCACACCGCGCCCUCCGACCGCCCCCAGGCCCCGCCGCCGCCUUGACGACCCCCUCGCCGGUGCGCCAGGACCCACCAGGACUCAGAGGCCGCCAGCAACCGCCAGCUCAACCUGGAGCUCUGCGCCUCCCACGUUUACCUGUCCGUGUCUUACUACUUCGACCGCGGUGAUGUGGCUUUGAAGAACUUUGCCGGGUGCUUUCUUCACCAAUCUCAUGAGGACAGGGAACAUGCCGAGAAACUGAUGAAGCUGCAGAACCGACGAGGUGGCCGCGUCUUCCUUCAGGAUGUCAAGAAACCAGACCAUGAUGACUGGGAGAGCGGGCUGAAGGCGACGGAGUGUGCAUUGCAUUUGGGAAAAAAAAGCAAAUCAGUCACACUGGAGCUGCACAAACUGGCCCCUGACAAAAAUGACCCCCAUUCGUGUGACUUUAUUGAGACAUGACCUGUAUGAGCAGGUGAAAUCCAUCAAAGAAUCGGGUGACCACGUGACCAACUUGCGCAAGAUGGGAGCACCCCAAUCUGGCUCGGCAGAGUAUCUCUUUCACAAGCACACCCUGGGAGACAGUGAUAAUGAAAGCUAAGCCUUAGGCUAAUUUCCCCAUAGCCAUGGGGUGACUUCCCUGGUCACCAAGGCAGCACAUGCAUGCUGGAGUUUCCUUUACCUUUUCUAUAAGUUGUACCAAAACAUCCACUUAAGUUCUUUGUACCAUUCCUUCCAAUAAAGAAAUUUGGUACCCA